rnacentral:rRNA from 1 species
GACAGAGGGUGCAAACGUUGUUCGGAAUUACUGGGCGUAAAGCGUGUGUAGGCGGUUUGGCAAGUCGGAUGUGAAAGCCCCGGGCUCAACUCGGGAAGUGCACUCGAUACUGCUAAACUUGAGUGUCGGAGAGGUUGGUGGAAUUCUCGGUGUAGAGGUGAAAUUCGUAGAUAUCGGGAGGAACACCAGUGGCGAAGGCGACUUUCUGGCCUGUUCUUGACGCUGAGGCGCGAAAGCUAGGGUAGCAAACGGG